rnacentral:rRNA from 1 species
AGUCGAACGAUGAUCCCAGCUUGCUGGGGGAUUAGUGGCGAACGGGUGAGUAACACGUGAGUAACCUGCCCUUAACUCUGGGAUAAGCCUGGGAAACUGGGUCUAAUACCGGAUAUGACUCCUCAUCGCAUGGUGGGGGGUGGAAAGCUUUAUUGUGGUUUUGGAUGGACUCGCGGCCUAUCAGCUUGUUGGUGAGGUAAUGGCUCACCAAGGCGACAACGGGUAGCCGGCCUGAGAGGGUGACCGGCCACACUGGGACUGAAACACGGCCCAAACUCCUACGGGAGGCAGCAGUGGGGAAUAUUGCACAAUGGGCGCAAGCCUGAUGCAGCGACGCCGCGUGAGGGAUGACGGCCUUCGGGUUGUAAACCUCUUUCAGUAGGGAAGAAGCGAAAGUGACGGUACCUGCAGAAGAAGCGCCGGCUAACUACGUGCCAGCAGCCGCGGUAAUACGUAGGGCGCAAGCGUUAUCCGGAAUUAUUGGGCGUAAAGAGCUCGUAGGCGGUUUGUCGCGUCUGCCGUGAAAGUCCGGGGCUCAACUCCGGAUCUGCGGUGGGUACGGGCAGACUAGAGUGAUGUAGGGGAGACUGGAAUUCCUGGUGUAGCGGUGAAAUGCGCAGAUAUCAGGAGGAACACCGAUGGCGAAGGCAGGUCUCUGGGCAUUAACUGACGCUGAGGAGCGAAAGCAUGGGGAGCGAACAGGAUUAGAUACCCUGGUAGUCCAUGCCGUAAACGUUGGGCACUAGGUGUGGGGGACAUUCCACGUUUUCCGCGCCGUAGCUAACGCAUUAAGUGCCCCGCCUGGGGAGUACGGCCGCAAGGCUAAAACUCAAAGGAAUUGACGGGGGCCCGCACAAGCGGCGGAGCAUGCGGAUUAAUUCGAUGCAACGCGAAGAACCUUACCAAGGCUUGACAUGGACUGGAAAUAC